CAUACCAUGAUAUAUAUUUAUAUAUACACACACACAUGCACAUAUACAUUCAAAUAUAUAUAUACACCAACUAACAUAUACUGUAACAUAUCAUAACAUAGUAUUAUACACCAAUAUCUUAUAAUAUUUUGUAAUAUACCCCAUGAUAUAUUGUAUCAUACAAUAAUAGUUUACCUUAAUAGACUGUAGACACCAACAUAUCAUUAUAUAUACACCUAUGACAUGGCAAGAUAUAUACACACUAACACACGCCAUGAUAUAUGCACAGCGAUAUAUAUCAUAAUAUACUCACCAGGUAAUGAUAUAUAAAGUAGUAAAUCAUGUUAUACACACCAGCAUAUGUCGUGAUGUACCUACAAUAUACGCCAUGUUAUACACAUCAACACAUACCAUUUUAAACCCACUUAUACACGCUGUAUCUCAGCUAUAACGAACAUGUGCCAACAAUCAUAUACACUAAUUUAUAGAAUCAAUCGGAAUUAUAUUAACACACAGCACAACAUAGACAAAAUUGUAUUUAAUUCAUAAUUUAACUUUCUUUCACUUGUGCUAUGCCUCAGCACAUAGACUUCACUCCAUUUGCAUAUAAGUCACAGACCAGCAAUUAAAUUUAUUUCAAGAUGAUCUGGGUACAUGGUACUGAUAAGCCACAAUAAUGGUGAAAUAUCAAUAUCUACCAUUCUCAGUGAUUCCAAGGCGAAUUGUCUUACCUGGUCUGUGACAUUCAGGUAUUCUUUAACACUUGGUAUCAUUUGCAAAUUUGGCAUAUAAACCUUAAUAUAAAUACAUACACCCUGUACAGGCAAUAAAUAUACGUUAUCAACAACAAUAAUGUUGUUUAACUAUGAAUUAAUUACAGAUGUAACAUUACACGAUGUUUCCAACAGUGGCAAUGUUUACAUUACUAGAGCUGUUUUUAAUUUGUAAUUUAAUUUUCUAUGACAUAUCAUAAAUAGCAUAAUAAAUUAUAAUAAACUCCAAAACACUGCCACAGCAUAGACCACUCGACAACAACGCAUCAGAACAUGCGUAGACCACACACCAACACAUACACGUAUAGGCCAUGCAGCAAAACAUCCAUAGACUGUCUACCUUUAAGUAUUAUUAUUAUUAGUUGUGGGAAAUAUUUCUAGAACAAUCUUCUAAUAUCUGCUUCACCCGUCCAAUGACAUUUCUGAAUAAAUCUCGAGAAAUUUACAAACUUCUACUUUUAACCAAACUUACACGAUAAAACUUCUGUUUGUGUGUUCACAUAUACAUAAAUACAUACAAACGCAUACAUAUAUACAACAUACACACACACAAACACAUCUACAAAUAAAUACAUAUGUAUGCAUAUAUAUAUAUACAUAUAUAUAUAAAAUACACAGGAUACAUACACACACACAUAAAUUUAUUUAUUAAUGUUUCUUUUUAUGUCAAGUUACAUAUCAAAACAAUUUAACAUUAAAUCGAAAGAUUAUUCUUUUUAGUAGAGUAACUAUUUAUUUCAAUUUUACAAGGCAAAGGUUGACAGUAACUUCAAAGUUGCAACUUGCUUUCUUCAAACUGACAAAGGUGAGCAAGUUAAUGCAAAUAUUUACCUUGCAAAAAGUUAAUAAAUACAUAUACAUAAGUGUAUUAAUAUUUUAUAUUUAUGUACACAGACAUAUAUAUAUAUAUAUAUAUUAUAUACAAUAUGUACAUACAUGUAUAUAUAUGCACAUCAGUUGCAUACACAAAUACGUGUAAAAGAAUUUCAAUACGAAGAUGGAACGAACAGGCUUUAGUCCAAAUUACUACAAUUGUUUCUGUGAAUUGGUGAUUACUGAAUGUUUCACAUAUUGUACAGACUAUUGCAUAUGACAUAUGAAAUGCUCAGCAAUUACCAGCUGAUACUAAUGCACAGGAACAAUUGUAGUGAUUUGAAUUAAAGCCUAUUCAUUCUGUCUUCUUGUAAUGAAAUUCUUUUGUAUAAAUUCUGUGGAUAUUAAUGGAUUUCCACAUGUAUAUCCAGUAAAAGGAAAAUUCCUGCUUUAUGAUAACACAUGGUAGCUGAUACCCUUAGAGGAGCUUUGGAAAGUAUGCCAAAAGGUUUUUACCUAGAUGAUAUUAAAUAUAAAUAUAUACAUACAUACACAAAUUGUUUCACUAUAGACUUAUGCCAUAAAUCCAUAUUUAUUAUAAUUUUUAUGAACAUUUGACAAGUAUAUUUUACGAAGAAUACACACACACACACAGACAAAAGUGUUAUCUUGUACCUGAAGAAAUGUUUGGUAUUUACUUCUCUGGCUAAAUAUGUUAUCAUAAAACUAUUCUUUAAAAGUAAAACCGGUGUCCCUCCACCCUGAGUUUAUAUACAUAAUACACACACACACACACACACAUAUAUAUAUACAAACACACAUGCACAUAUUUAUACACAUAUACACAAAAAUACAUACACAUACAUGAAAUAAAGUUUCUGAAGUGCUGGAGGGAUGAUGUUCCCCAUCUUGUGAGAACUAAAAAUUCCUCAAACUUAUUUUAAAUUCAUGGCAGCUGUUUAAUAAAUGGUAAAAAAAUGGCUUUUAUUCAAAACUGUAUACACAUUUUCCCCCACAAACAAAAAUGUACAUACAACAUUCUUAGAGGAAAUAUUCUUAAACUCCUGAAAAUAUUUAACAAACAUUACACAUAUGGAUAAUUUCUCCUGCCCUCCUCUCUCUUCCUGAAUAAGUCACAAAAUAAUGACAAACGCUGUUAAAAUGGUUUCUUUGUUGUAGCAGAACUGUUGAAUUAGUUCCAGAAACUGCCUCCUGUUGUCUGCUGUGAUUGUCUUCAGGUUAUUGUUGAAAUAUAUCUAAAUUUACUGUUUGGUAUCUCUGCUUAACAUAAAUUAUCAAUGGUAGACAUUUGUAAAUAUCUUCAGUAAUAAAAUAUUUAUUUCAGUGUU